rnacentral:tRNA from 6 species
CAGAAAGUUAGUCUAGCUAAGACA